rnacentral:rRNA from 1 species
UACGUAGGUGGCAAGCGUUGUCCGGAUUUACUGGGCGUAAAGAGCGCGCAGGCGGUCGUGCAAGUCGCGUGUGAAAGCCCCCGGCUCAACUGGGGAGGGUCACGCGAUACUGUUCGACUCGAAGGCAGGAGAGGGAAGCAGAAUUCCCGGUGUAGUGGUGAAAUGCGUAGAUAUCGGGAGGAAUACCAGUGGCGAAGGCGGCUUCCUGGCCCGAUACUGACGCUGAGGUGCGAAAGCGUGGGGAGCAAACAGG